GGAGGACUCCCUGCGGGAACCGACGGACCUGUAACAACGGGCCGCCCCCGCCAGAGGACCCCUAACUCUGUUUUUAUAAUGUUUUUCUGAGUAAACAAGCAAAUAAAUUAAAACUUUCAACAACGGAUCUCUUGGCUCUGGCAUCGAUGAAGAACGCAGCGAAAUGCGAUAAGUAAUGUGAAUUGCAGAAUUCAGUGAAUCAUCGAAUCUUUGAACGCACAUUGCGCCCGCCAGUAUUCUGGCGGGCAUGCCUGUUCGAGCGUCAUUACAACCCUCAGGCCCCCGGGCCUGGCGUUGGGGAUCGGCAGAAGCCCCCUGUGGGCACACGCCGUCCCUCAAAUACAGUGGCGGUCCCGCCGCAGCUUCCAUUGCGUAGUAGCUAACACCUCGCAACUGGAGAGCGGCGCGGCCAUGCCGUAAAACACCCAACUUCUGAAUGUUGACCUCGAAUCAGGUAGGAAUACCCGCUGAACUUAAGCAUAUCAAU
rnacentral:rRNA from 1 species